rnacentral:rRNA from 1 species
GACGAACGCUGGCGGCGUGCUUAACACAUGCAAGUCGAACGGUGACCCAGGGCUUGCCCUGGUGAUCAGUGGCGAACGGGUGAGUAACACGUGGGCAACCUGCCCCUGACUUCGGGAUAACUCCUCGAAAGAGGAGCUAAUACCGGAUACGACCACUUCGGACAUCCGAUGGUGGUGGAAAGUUUUUCGGUCAGGGAUGGGCCCGCGGCCUAUCAGCUAGUUGGUGGGGUAAUGGCCUACCAAGGCGACGACGGGUAGCCGGCCUGAGAGGGCGACCGGCCACACUGGGACUGAGACACGGCCCAGACUCCUACGGGAGGCAGCAGUGGGGAAUAUUGCGCAAUGGGCGAAAGCCUGACGCAGCGACGCCGCGUGAGGGAUGAAGGCCUUCGGGUUGUAAACCGUCUUCAGCAGGGACGAAGCGAAAGUGACGGUACCUGCAGAAGAAGCACCGGCUAAC